GAAAGCAAGAAAUCCAACCAUUUCCUGCUUCCUAGCUAAUCUAAAUCUCCUGGCGCAGCAGAACAGCUGAUGGUCGGAAAAAUAGCAACUUAGCAGACAGGUUUACUGGGUAAGGAGUGAGUGGGCGGGGAGGGUUUCCGCGGGCCAUGUGGGCUGAGCAGCCUUCUGUUUCUACGCAGCCUGGAUUAAUUGCUUUGGGGGGGGGUGCUCUGGGGCUGAGAUUUUCUCACGGCCCAUCAGUGAGCCAUGGCCCAUCGGUUGGCGACCACUGUUCUAUACAGGAAUGAAUUCUCUCCAUCUUCCUAUUAAUUUUCCUGUUGCUUGGUAUCUUUUAGGACUACAAGGUUCCAGGGACACGGCGGCUGCAUGAAGUAUUAGGGGUAGAGAGUGGGGGCCCAGGUGGACGCCGUGCAGGAGAGCAGGGCCAUUCACCUUCUGACUACCUGAAGUUCAAGGAUUUAGUGCUGCGCAUGCUGGACUAUGAACCCCGUAGCCGCAUCACUCCCUUCUAUGCCCUGCAGCAUAACUUUUUCAAGAAAACUGCUGAUGAGGGCACCAAUACGAGUGCCAGCACCUCACCAAGCCUGGGAACAGAGCAUAGCCACUCCACCAGCACCACCAGUUCUGUGUCCAGUUCAGGUAUGCAUCUCUCCUUCCCUUCUCCCCUUCUUUCUAGCUCUCCUCCUCAUGUUCCCAGCACUCCUGUUCCAUCUUCAGCUUGGAGAGUUUCACACUAGUGCAAAUACUAGUGAAAAAUACACUAGUGAAAAAUACUGGUGAGUAUUCUUUUCUCCACUGUCCUGUCUUUGCAUAGGUGGUUCCAGUGGUUCUUCCAAUGACAACCGUGGUUACCGCUACAGCAAUCGUUACUACAGCAACAUGGGCACAGUGCAUGCUGACUGUGAGAUGCAGAGUCCCCAGGCGCUUCCUCAGCAGCAGAUGCGCCUCUGGGCCAGCGGUGACAACGAGGGAAUUCCUCACAUCUUACCUCAUAAGCCCACACCUAGUCAGGCCAUGCCAUGUUUCCCCCCAAGCGGGCACCCUCCGUACCAGCGCCCUCCACUCCCGCUAUCUCCUCCACUCCCGGAGGCCAUGGAGGUGUCUCUGGGCCCUCGCCAUCUGGACUGCAACCCCACUGGGCUGGGCUCCUCCGGCUUGCACUUGGGCGCCUCGGCCUUCCGGACUAGGACUGCUGGCGGCUCACGCCCUGAGGGACUUGGCCUCAACUACCCACUUCGUGGCCGUGGGCACCGAGACACUGACGAGACUGCACUGA
rnacentral:lncRNA from 1 species